rnacentral:rRNA from 1 species
UACAGAGGGUGCAAGCGUUGCUCGGAAUCAUUGGGCGUAAAGGGUAGGUAGGUGGUCUCAUUUGUCUGGGGUGAAAGCCCAGGGCUUAACCCUGGAAGUGCCCCGGAAACGGUGAGACUGGAGUAUUGGAGAGGGUUGUGGAAUUCCCGGUGUAGCGGUGAAAUGCGUAGAGAUCGGGAGGAACACCAGAGGCGAAGGCGGCGACCUGGACAAUUACUGACACUCAACUACGAAAGCGUGGGGAGCAAACAGG